rnacentral:misc_RNA from 1 species
GAUGAAGAACGUAGCGAAAUGCGAAAAGUGGUGUGAAUUGCAGAAUUCAGUGAAUCAUCGAAUCUUUGAACGCACAUUGCGCCCGCCAGCACUCUGGCGGGCAUGCCUGUUCGAGCGUCAUUUCAACCAUCAAGCCCCCAGGGGCUUGUGCUGGGGCCCUGCGGCUGCCCGCAGGCCCUGAAAACCAGUGGCGGGCUCGCUAGUCACACCGAGCGCAGUAGCACAUCUCGCUCAGGGCGUGCGGCGGGCUCCUGCCGUGAAACCCCCCACUGUAACCCCAAAGGUUGACCUCGGAUCAGGUAGGAAUACCCGCUGAACUUAAGCAUAUCAAUAAGCGGAGGA